AGUGUACGCUGGCGGUAGGCCUAACACAUGCAAGUCGAACGGCAGCACAGUAAGAGCUUGCUCUUACGGGUGGCGAGUGGCGGACGGGUGAGGAAUACAUCGGAAUCUACUUUUUCGUGGGGGAUAACGUAGGGAAACUUACGCUAAUACCGCAUACGACCUACGGGUGAAAGCAGGGGAUCUUCGGACCUUGCACGAUUGAAUGAGCCGAUGUCGGAUUAGCUAGUUGGCGGGGUAAAGGCCCACCAAGGCGACGAUCCGUAGCUGGUCUGAGAGGAUGAUCAGCCACACUGGAACUGAGACACGGUCCAGACUCCUACGGGAGGCAGCAGUGGGGAAUAUUGGACAAUGGGCGCAAGCCUGAUCCAGCCAUACCGCGUGGGUGAAGAAGGCCUUCGGGUUGUAAAGCCCUUUUGUUGGGAAAGAAAAGCAGCAGGUUAAUACCCCGCUGUUCUGACGGUACCCAAAGAAUAAGCACCGGCUAACUUCGUG
rnacentral:rRNA from 1 species